rnacentral:piRNA from 1 species
UCCCAGGUAUGCUCGUAUGGACUAGGC